GCAGUCGAGCGACGGACGAGAAGCUUGCUUCUCUGAUGUUAGCGGCGGACGGGUGAGUAACACGUGGAUAACCUACCUAUAAGACUGGGAUAACUUCGGGAAACCGGAGCUAAUACCGGAUAAUAUUUUGAACCGCAUGGUUCAAAAGUGAAAGACGGUCUUGCUGUCACUUAUAGAUGGAUCCGCGCUGCAUUAGCUAGUUGGUAAGGUAACGGCUUACCAAGGCAACGAUGCAUAGCCGACCUGAGAGGGUGAUCGGCCACACUGGAACUGAGACACGGUCCAGACUCCUACGGGAGGCAGCAGUAGGGAAUCUUCCGCAAUGGGCGAAAGCCUGACGGAGCAACGCCGCGUGAGUGAUGAAGGUCUUCGGAUCGUAAAACUCUGUUAUUAGGGAAGAACAUAUGUGUAAGUAACUGUGCACAUCUU
rnacentral:rRNA from 1 species